rnacentral:rRNA from 1 species
UGAAAACCACUAUUUGUUACGUCAUUUUACUUACUCCGUAAGAAGUGAUCGGUUUACCGAUUCUAGAACUAAGGGUAGUUUACUGCCUGAGCUUUGCGGAAGACACGGUCAGGUGGGGAGUUUGGCUUGGGGCGGCACAUCUGUUAAACAAUAACGCAGGUGUCCUAAGGUGAGCUCAAAGAGAACAGAAAUCUCUUGUAGACCAAAAGGGGAAAAGCUCACUUGAUUUUGAUAUCCAGUACAUAUACAAACCGUGAAAGCGUGGCCUAUCGAUCCUUUAACUUUACAAGUAUUAAGCUAGAGGUGUCAGAAAAGUUACCACAGGGAUAACUGGCUUGUGGCUGCCAAGCGCUCAUAGCGACGUAGCUUUUUGAUCCUUCGAUGUCGGCUCUUCCUAUCAUUGUGAAGCAGAAUUCACAACGUGUCGGAUUGUUCACCCGUUAAUAGGG